rnacentral:rRNA from 1 species
AGUGAACGCUGGCGGUAGGCCUAACACAUGCAAGUCGAACGGCAGCACAGUAAGAGCUUGCUCUUACGGGUGGCGAGUGGCGGACGGGUGAGGAAUACAUCGGAAUCUACUUUUUCGUGGGGGAUAACGUAGGGAAACUUACGCUAAUACCGCAUACGACCUACGGGUGAAAGCAGGGGAUCUUCUGACCUUGCGCGAGUGAAUGAGCCGAUGUCGGAUUCGCUAGUUGGCGGGGUAAAGGCCCACCAAGGCGACGAUCCGUAGCUGGUCUGAGAGGAUGAUCAGCCACCCUGGAACUGAGACACGGUCCAGACUCCUACGGGAGGCAGCAGUGGGGAAUAUUGGACAAUGGGCGCAAGCCUGAUCCAGCCAUACCGCGUGGGUGAAGAAGGCCUUCGGGUUGUAAAGCCCUUUUGUUGGGAAAGAAAAGCAGCAGGUUAAUACCCCGCUGUUCUGACGGUACCCAAAGAAUAAGCACCGGCUAACUUCGUG